rfam:Parastrongyloides trichosuri strain KNP genome assembly, scaffold: PTRK_scaffold0000171
AAGAGCCGUAUGAAUAGAGAUGUUCAAGUACGGUUCUGUGAGAGGCUAAUGGGUGCAAUUCCCUUGGCCUACUCGAU